AUUGAACGCUGGCGGCAUGCUUUACACAUGCAAGUCGAACGGCAGCGCGGGCUUCGGCCUGGCGGCGAGUGGCGAACGGGUGAGUAAUGCAUCGGAACGUGCCCAGUAGUGGGGGAUAGCCCGGCGAAAGCCGGAUUAAUACCGCAUACGACCUGAGGGUGAAAGCGGGGGACCGAAAGGCCUCGCGCUAUUGGAGCGGCCGAUGUCGGAUUAGCUAGUUGGUGGGGUAAAGGCUUACCAAGGCGACGAUCCGUAGCUGGUCUGAGAGGACGACCAGCCACACUGGGACUGAGACACGGCCCAGACUCCUACGGGAGGCAGCAGUGGGGAAUUUUGGACAAUGGGGGCAACCCUGAUCCAGCCAUGCCGCGGGCGGGAAGAAGGCCUUCGGGUUGUAAACCGCUUUUGUUCGGGAAGAAAUCCUCUGGGCUAAUACCCCGGGGGGAUGACGGUACCGGAAGAAUAAGCACCGGCUAACUACGU
rnacentral:rRNA from 1 species